AUUUCCAAGGUGAUCCUUGGCCCACGCAAGCUUCCCUGAACCCCUGUACCCCAUCUUCCCCCGGUUUCCCCCGCACCCCAGCUUCCCUGGUUACCCCUCGGCUCCCCCACU
rfam:Pteropus alecto contig39583, whole genome shotgun sequence.